AUCUGACGCUCAGGCUCCGCCCCCUGCAUGUCUUUGUUGGCAAACAGUUCUGGGGGUCGUCCGAUCCUGCAGAGACCGUCCAGGCUGGACUUGAACUCCUUCCUCGGCUGAAGUGAUCCUCCUGCCUCAGCGUCCUGAAUAGGAAGUGGAGCCAGAAUCCACAGAUGUCAUUAUCCAUCUGCACACUUUGUUUACUACCCAGAAGGCAAGAAUAUUGCAUUUUAAAAGUGCCCGGACUUUUGUUCUUUCUUAUCACAAAUGACUUGGGAAGCUCCGACCACUCAUGUUUACCCCGAGUGAAAGUCCCAUUCAAAGCCUUGCUUCCUGGAGAGCUUUGAGAUUCUGGUACAAAAGGCAUUUUAUAAGCACAAAGUGGAAAAGCAUCAUUCAUAUUCAUUUGCUGCUGCGGCAUUUCUCCCUGGAAUCUUCCUCUUGUCUGUCAACAUUGGGCAAAAGGACUGGCCUCAUCUACAUUACAGAUAUCCUUGUGAUGGUCUGGAGGGACCUGUGGGAGAGGCGGCCAUCCAGAGGGCUCUCUGAGGGGUCAUUUAGAAUGCAACUCUUCUGGGCAGAGGAUGGUCUGCACUGGCCUCCACCACGCAGGAAGGCUUCCAGAGUGGAGAAAUGUCCACUAACAUGGCUUCUGUGAGGUAUCAUUCUGAUCAUUGUUGUUACAGGAGAGAUGAGAGGAAGUUAGAGGGGCUAGAAGAACCAGGAGACCUGUUGAAAAUCAUGAAUACAAAGAGAGGUCGUUUGCUUCUGUGCUUCAAUUCUAUAAUAAAAUGAGUACAAUGUCA
rnacentral:lncRNA from 10 species